rnacentral:rRNA from 1 species
ACAGAGGUCCCAAGCGUUGUUCGGAUUUACUGGGCGUAAAGGGUGCGUAGGCGGCGAGGAAAGUUUGAGGUGAAAUCUCCAGGCUCAACUUGGAAAAUGCCUUGAAGACUUCCUUGCUCGAGGGUCGUAGAGGAGACUGGAAUUCUCGGUGUAGCAGUGAAAUGCGUAGAUAUCGAGAGGAACACCAGUGGCGAAAGCGGGUCUCUGGACGACACCUGACGCUGAGGCACGAAAGCCAGGGGAGCAAACGGGAUUAGAUACCCCGGUAGUCCUGGCCCUAAACGGUGCGCACUUGCUGUGAGUAGAUUUAAAACCUACUAGUGGCGUAGUUAACACGUUAAGUGCGCCGCCUGAGGAGUACGGUCGCAAGAUUA